UCUCUUCAGGGGCCAAUGUCUUCCAGUAUAUUCUUCGAGAAGUAGCUUUGGAUGUACUAUCAUCAAGUGACUGCCAGAGGUUAAGUCAACGCCCUGAUGUCUCUAAGGUGGUCUGCACCCAAACAAUGUUCAAAAGCUUUUGCCAGGGUGACAGCGGAGGACCUCUUGUGGUAAAAACAUGCUUAGGUACAUGGGUUCAAAUUGGCAUUGUGAGUUAUGCAAGAGGAUGUGCCUAUGGGACCGAACCUGGUGUGUACACACGUGUACCAUAUUUCCGGUCUUGGAUUGAUAAUCAAACUGGUUCUUCAACUGCAUGUUGAUGAUCAAAUCCAUCUCGUGGAUUUCCCUAAUGCUUUGAUUCAAGACACUACUAUUCACCCAAUUUCAACCUAAUAUCUAAAAAAAUCUUGAUUUUAGACUUUCCUCGCUGCUACAACUGAGUUAAUUCAUUUAAAAACAACCACGAGAAGUUACCCUAAUAUUUUGCCUACAAAUCCACUCUAAAAACCUAGCCUUAUCUUACUCCUCAACUGAAACCCCACAUUGAUUACAUAGCCCAGUAUUUUCAGUGAAAAGCAGCUAAAAAAUAUUUUGUUCUAUGAAACUCAUAAAAUUUUACUUCCAAGAAAGGUGGCAAAUGGAUUUAGAGCUAUUCAACUACCCAGUUUGCCUUUUGUUCUCAACUGAAUUUCAUCACUUGCAAAUUUAUGUCUCUUCGACAUAAAUUUGCCAGUUUUCAAGUUUUUCUGGGAAGAGAUUUCAUACAUAUCAUCCUGGAAACCAACUUAUAAGUGCAAUUCAGAGGAAAUGUCGAUCAAAAUGGGCUCUCAGCAUAUUUGAAUGUGGUUGUUCUACAUGGAGUGAUUAAUUCACUGUGUUUGUCUACAUAGCACAUUUAAAUAAAUUUAAUGCUUGCUACAGCACGCAAACUUUUAGAUACUGUCUGAUUGCACUAAAUAAACAAUGAAAUGCAA